UACAGAGGUCUCAAGCGUUGUUCGGAUUCAUUGGGCGUAAAGGGUGCGUAGUUGGCGAUGUAAGUCUGGUGUGAAAUCUCGGGGCUCAACCUCGAAAUUGCAUUGGAUACUGCGUUGCUUGAGGAUUGUAGAGGAGAGUGGAAUUCACGGUGUAGCGGUGAAAUGCUUAGAUAUCGUCAAGAACACCGAUAGCGAAGGCAGCUUACUGGGCUGUAACUGACGCUGAGGCACGAAAGUGUGGGGAUCAAACAGG
rnacentral:rRNA from 1 species